rnacentral:rRNA from 1 species
GAUGAUCAGCCACAUCGGGACUGAGACACGGCCCGAACUCCUACGGGAGGCAGCAGUGGGGAAUAUUGGACAAUGGGCGAAAGCCUGAUCCAGCCAUGCCGCGUGUGUGAAGAAGGCCCUCGGGUUGUAAAGCACUUUCAGCGAGGAAGAACGCCUAGUGGUUAAUACCCACUAGGAAAGACAUCACUCGCAGAAGAAGCACCGGCUAACUCCGUGCCAGCAGCCGCGGUAAUACGGAGGGUGCAAGCGUUAAUCGGAAUUACUGGGCGUAAAGCGCGCGUAGGUGGCUUGAUAAGCCGGUUGUGAAAGCCCCGGGCUCAACCUGGGAACGGCAUCCGGAACUGUCAAGCUAGAGUGCAGGAGAGGAAGGUAGAAUUCCCGGUGUAGCGGUGAAAUGCGUAGAGAUCGGGAGGAAUACCAGUGGCGAAGGCGGCCUUCUGGACUGACACUGACACUGAGGUGCGAAAGCGUGGGUAGCAAACAGGAUUAGAUACCCUGGUAGUCCACGCCGUAAACGAUGUCGACCAGCCGUUGGGUGCCUAGCGCACUUUGUGGCGAAGUUAACGCGAUAAGUCGACCGCCUUGGGGAGUACGGCCGCAAGGUUAAAACUCAAAUGAAUUGACGGGGGCCCGCACAAGCGGUGGAGCAUGUGGUUUAAUUCGAUGCAACGCGAAGAACCUUACCUACUCUUGACAUCCUGCGAACUUGUGAGAGAUCACUUGGUGCCUUCGGGAACGCAGAGACAGGUGCUGCAUGGCUGUCGUCAGCUCGUGUUGUGAAAUGUUGGGUUAAGUCCCGUAACGAGCGCAACCCUUGUCCUUAUUUGCCAGCGCGUAAUGGCGGGAACUCUAAGGAGACUGCCGGUGACAAACCGGAGGAAGGUGGGGACGACGUCAAGUCAUCAUGGCCCUUACGAGUAGGGCUACACACGUGCUACAAUGGCCGGUACAAAGGGUUGCGAGCUCGCGAGAGUCAGCUAAUCCCGAAAAGCCGGUCUCAGUCCGGAUCGGAGUCUGCAACUCGACUCCGUGAAGUCGGAAUCGCUAGUAAUCGUGAAUCAGAAUGUCACGGUGAAUACGUUCCCGGGCCUUGUACACACCGCCCGUCACACCAUGGGAGUGGACUGCACCAGAAGUGGUUAGCUUAACCUUCGGGAAAGCGAUCA